rnacentral:tRNA from 1 species
UGGGGAUUAGUUCAGUGGAAGAACGCUCUGGCAUUUAAUAGCAGAGAGCUCGAAGGUUCGAAUCCUUCAUCCCCUA